UCUCGGCUUACGCCGGCAGUCUCCUUAGAGUCCCUCCAUCUUGCGAUGGGUUGGCAACUAAGGACAGGGGUUGCGCUCGUUGCGGGACUUAACCCAACAUCUCACGACACGAGCUGACGACAACCAUGCAGCACCUCUGCUGGCUUCCUUGCGGAUCAGCCCCAGUUUCUUGGGACUUACUACCAGUAGUUCAAGCCCAGGUAAGGUUCUUCGCGUUGCGUCGAAUUAAACCACAUGCUCCACCGCUUGUGCGGGCCCCCGUCAAUUCCUUUGAGUUUCAGCCUUGCGGCCGUACUCCCCAGGCGGGGCGCCUAAUGCGUUAGCUGCGGCACGGAUCCCGUGGAAGGGAACCCACACCUAGCGCCCAACGUUUACGGCGUGGACUAC
rnacentral:misc_RNA from 1 species